GGAAAUUUAGCUCAGUGGUAGAGUGCUUGCCUAGGAAGCGCAAGGCCCUGGGUUCGAUCCCCAGCUCCG
rnacentral:tRNA from 1 species